GAUCAUGGCUCAGGAUGAACGCUAGCUACAGGCUUAACACAUGCAAGUCGAGGGGCAGCAUGAGAUUAGCUUGCUAAUCUUGAUGGCGACCGGCGCACGGGUGAGUAACGCGUAUCCAACCUUCCCCCUACUCAGGAAUAGCCCGGUGAAAACCGGAUUAACACCUGAUAGUUUCACUAGAUGGCAUCUAACGGUGAAUAAAGCUUUGCGGUAAGGGAUGGGGAUGCGUCUGAUUAGCUUGUUGGCGGGGUAACGGCCCACCAAGGCAACGAUCAGUAGGGGUUCUGAGAGGAAGGUCCCCCACAUUGGAACUGAGACACGGUCCAAACUCCUACGGGAGGCAGCAGUGAGGAAUAUUGGUCAAUGGGCGAGAGCCUGAACCAGCCAAGUAAGCGUGCAGGAUGACGGCCCUAUGGGUUGUAAACUGCUUUUGUACGGGAAUAAAGUCAGGGACGUGUCCCUGUUUGCAUGUACCGUAAGAAUAAGGACCGGCUAAUUCCGUGCCAGCCGCGGC
rnacentral:rRNA from 1 species